GAAUAUUGGACAAUGGGGGGAACCCUGAUCCAGCCAUGCCGCGUGUGUGAAGAAGGCCUUUCGGUUGUAAAGCACUUUAAGCGAGGAGGAGGCGACGUAGAUUAAUACCCUAGGAUAGUGGACGUUACUCGCAGAAUAAGCACCGGCUAACUCGGUACCAGCAGCCGCGGUAAUAAAGAGGGUGCAAGCGUUAAUCGGAGUUACUGGGCGUAAAGCGCGCGUAGGUGGCCAAUUAAGUCAAAUGUGAAAUCCCCGAGCUUAACUUGGGAAUUGUAUUCGAUACUGGUUGGCUAGAGUAUGGGAGAGGAUGGUAGAAUUCCAGGUGUAGCGGUGAAAUGCGUAGAGAUCUGGAGGAAUACCGAUGGCGAAGGCAGCCAUCUGGCCUAAUACUGACACUGAGGUGCGAAAGCAUGGGGAGCAAACA
rnacentral:rRNA from 1 species